rnacentral:sRNA from 1 species
GUGAUCCAGCUGUGUCUUCUACCACUCCACUGAUUUCCAGAGUAGAUGCUGCUGAUUUGACUGGCUAGGCAGGUUUGUCCUUCCUC